rnacentral:rRNA from 1 species
UACGUAGGCAGCGAGCGUUGUUCGGAAUUACUGGGCGUAAAGAGCGUGUAGGCGGCUUGGUAAGUCCGCUGUGAAAGUCCAGGGCUCAACCCUGGAAUGCCGGUGGAAACUGUCAAGCUUGAGUCCGGAAGAGGCGAGUGGAAUUCCUGGUGUAGCGGUGAAAUGCGCAGAUAUCAGGAGGAACACCAAUGGCGAAGGCAGCUCGCUGGGACGGUACUGACGCUGAGACGCGAAAGCGUGGGGAGCAAACAGG